rnacentral:tRNA from 1 species
UUGCGGCGUAGCUCAACGGCAGAGCGAUGGGCUCAUGACCCAUAGGUAGGCGGUUCAAUUCCGUCGGCCGCAAGC